rnacentral:tRNA from 2 species
GGGAGCAUAGCUCAGCGGCUAGAGCAAACUCUUGAUAAGGGUUAGGUCACAGGUUCAAAUCCUGUUGUUCCCA